GUGCUCGCUUCGGCAGCACCGAUACCAAACGUGGAAUGAUACAGAGAUUAGUAUGGCCCCUGGCCCAGGAUGACAUGCAAAUUCAUGUAGUGUUCCAUUUUUUU